rnacentral:rRNA from 1 species
GAGAGUUUGAUUCUGGCUCAGAACGAACGCUGGCGGCGUGGAUAAGACAUGCAAGUCGGACGCUGAUUGCCGGGUAGCAAUAUUCGGCAGUCGGAGUGGCGUAAGGGUGCGUAACACGUGGGUAAUCCGCCCUGAAGUUGGGGAUAACUCGCUGAAAGGCGAGCUAAUACCGAAUGUGGAUCUUGGGUGGCAUCGCUUGAGAUCUAAAGUUGGGGACCGUAAGGCCUGACGCUUCAGGAUGAGCCCGCGGCCUAUCAGCUUGUUGGUGAGGUAACGGCUCACCAAGGCUAAGACGGGUAGCUGGUCUGAGAGGACGACCAGCCACACUGGAACUGAGACACGGUCCAGACACCUACGGGUGGCAGCAGUCGAGAAUUUUUCA